rnacentral:rRNA from 1 species
GGCAAUUGGCGCAGCCUACACAUGCAGUCGAACGGUAACAGGAAGCAGCUUGCUGCUUUGCUGACGAGUGGCGGACGGGUGAGUAAUGUCUGGGAAACUGCCUGAUGGAGGGGGAUAACUACUGGAAACGGUAGCUAAUACCGCAUAACGUCGCAAGACCAAAGAGGGGGACCUUCGGGCCUCUUGCCAUCGGAUGUGCCCAGAUGGGAUUAGCUUGUUGGUGGGGUAACGGCUCACCAAGGCGACGAUCCCUAGCUGGUCUGAGAGGAUGACCAGCCACACUGGAACUGAGACACGGUCCAGACUCCUACGGGAGGCAGCAGUGGGGAAUAUUGCACAAUGGGCGCAAGCCUGAUGCAGCCAUGCCGCGUGUAUGAAGAAGGCCUUCGGGUUGUAAAGUACUUUCAGCGGGGAGGAAGGGAGUAAAGUUAAUACCUUUACUCAUUGACGUUACCCGCAGAAGAAGCACCGGCUAACUCCGUGCCAGCAGCCGCGGUAAUACGGAGGGUGCAAGCGUUAAUCGGAAUUACUGGGCGUAAAGCGCACGCAGGCGGUUUGUUAAGUCAGAUGUGAAAUCCCCGGGCUCAACCUGGGAACUGCAUCUGAUACUGGCAAGCUUGAGUCUCGUAGAGGGGGGUAGAAUUCCAGGUGUAGCGGUGAAAUGCGUAGAGAUCUGGAGGAAUACCGGUGGCGAAGGCGGCCCCCUGGACGAAGACUGACGCUCAGGUGCGAAAGCGUGGGGAGCAAACAGGAUUAGAUACCCUGGUAGUCCACGCCGUAAACGAUGUCGACUUGGAGGUUGUGCCCUUGAGGCGUGGCUUCCGGAGCUAACGCGUUAAGUCGACCGCCUGGGGAGUACGGCCGCAAGGUUAAAACUCAAAUGAAUUGACGGGGGCCCGCACAAGCGGUGGAGCAUGUGGUUUAAUUCGAUGCAACGCGAAGAACCUUACCUGGUCUUGACAUCCACGGAAGUUUUCAGAGAUGAGAAUGUGCCUUCGGGAACCGUGAGACAGGUGCUGCAUGGCUGUCGUCAGCUCGUGUGUGAAAUGUGGGUAGUCCCGCACGAGCGCACCCUUAUCUUGUGCAGCGUCGCGGACUCAAAGGAGACUGCAGUGAUAACUGAGAAGGUGGGGGAUGACGUCAGUCAAUCCAUUGGGCUA